GUUUUGCAUAAUUUCUGCAUGCAGGUUAACCAGAAAGCUGCAGAAGCUUUGGCUGAUCCUGAAGAAUAUCCUAACUUGUUUGAGCACUGGCAAAUUGCACAUUCUGUUGAAGCUAGAGUUGCGGAGGAAAGGGGUGUAUACCCGCCAGCGGCAGAUUAUGGAAAUUAUGCUGAUAGACCAACUACUAACCUCGUAGAAGCUUUCAGCAACAUGAGAGUGGAUGAAGAACCACUUGAAAAUGGAGAGUUGGAUCAUGAGGUUGCAGAACAGAAUGGUGAUGAGGUGCAAGAACCGGGUGAAGAUGACAUUCAACAAGAGGGCCAAGAAGAGGCUGUUGUGGUGGAUGCUGACUCUACUGAUGGUGCAGUACUCGUUAAUGGAAACGAGGCUGACGAAGAGUGGGGUACGAAUACUGAAGGAAAACCGUCAGCCUAAAAGCAAUUGGUUGGGUUGGUGUGAAAUCCUAGUUUAUUUGCUGUUCUUACACCACGUCAUUAGGUUCAGCCAAGACAGAUGGUUCCAGUUGUAUGUAAUCCGUUCUUAAGAUUCUGCUGCCUUAAAGGGACGGUUCAAGGGACCGGAUGUCUGUUCUGCCAGUGGUGUGUGAUUUUGUAGCAAUGAGUUUUGUCGGCAUAUUGUAGAAAGACAUUUCUUUCCAGCUUCGGCUAUUAGCUUUAGUCUCCUCAUAGCGUUAUUAUUCUUUUGAGGCAUAAAUUUAUACCUUCCAAAUUCUUACGUGCCCUUGUGAAUGUAUAAACACAUACCAUAUAUAAAAGCGGGAAUAGCGCAGAAAGUGUUUUAACUUCCA